rnacentral:rRNA from 1 species
CGCAGUAUUUUGACUGUGCGAAGGUAGCAUAAUCAUUUGUCUUUUAAUUGAAGGCUUGUAUGAAUGGUUGGACGAGAAAUAAACUUUCUUUAUCUAAAUUCUGUGAAUUUAAUUUUUGAGUUAAAAAGCUUAAAUGUUUUUGCAAGACGAGAAGACCCUAUAGAAUUUUAUUAAAAUGGUUAUAUUUGUUCUUUGGUUAAUAAUUUGAUAAAUAUGAUUAUUUUAAUUUU